rnacentral:lncRNA from 1 species
GGAUCGAUUUUUGCGUUCGUUACGACUUCCGUCGUAAUUAACCGAACAAUGCGAUUGUACGAUCAAACGAACCGACAUCCGAGAUAUUUUUUAGCAUGUUUUGAGUCCCCGAUGCUUUAACUUCAUUUUAGAGCCUUGAAAUGAGGUUAACGGGGUUUAAACGCAUCAAAAAAGGCUUUAAACACGUGCAGGGACCAUUUCUGCCAUUUUUGAAACUUUGCUGAAUCAGACACACCGUAGCGUAGCGCGAGCCCUCCUGCCUAUGCCGUCGCGCUACGCGAGUGCCACAUCUGGGCAGAAUGUGUGUUUUCAGCAACAGUUUGUAAUUUCAGGGGCCAAACUUGCAAUUUCUUUGUGUGGUAACCAAGUUACCACCUCUCCAAGGCUUUGCACCUGCUCCUAACACUUGUAUGGAUGAGAUUUAUUGCUUAAUGGCUAAACAAUCCACUUGUGAUGAUCUUGUUCAUCACCAACAAGUAUAAAUAGCCAAGCCAUCCAUUGUUUCAUUUGCUCAUUCCUCAUUUCCUCCCUUCUUAUCUGCUUUGGAAGCUCUCUCAACUGAUUUGGGACUUGUCUUCUUUGUAGAAAAGAUAGCAAGGACUAUUGUGAGCCUUCUUUCAUUCUUUUUCUUGCUUUUUCCUUAUGUAGUGCAGAAAGUCAAACGUUUGGCCAACAGUUUGACUUUCGGUUUUGACCAUCAAUUGGUCAAGUCAAAGUUCAAUUGAACUUUGAAACGUGAUUGUAAUCACGAUAGUUAUAAUCCUUCGUGAUUAUAGCCGCUGAUUACCACGUUAACUAGUUGUAGUGUCGAGUCAAAGUUUCGGUCAAAAUGCGUUUUAGCACGCAUUUUGCAACGGAACUACUUUAGGGUAUCAAAACACUUUGUUUUGAUACCAAAUCAGUAGGUUAAACAUGUUUUGACAUGUCUAACUCGACACUAUUAGUUUGUGCUUGGUUAGGGUCGUAAGGUAAGCGGUCUAAACAACCGCUUAUACUUCCGAACCCGACCCGUUUGGUCGAUCUUUAGGAUCCGACCAAGCUUAGUUAGUGAUCAUAGUUGUAUAGGGAAUAACCACUGAGGUUAUACCUUAUGAUCACAUAGGAUUGGUUAGUCGUAUGCUAGUUAGCUUGUAUGCCCAUAGGAAAUGACCAAAAUGCCCUUUUGAAGCUAAAAUCCGUAUUUUGAUUAUGUGAACAUAUUUUUGACAUAUAAUCUGAAUUAGUAACAUGUUUAGGGAUAAUUGGGCAUGUAAGACUUGACAUAGCACAUAGUUAACCAUCCGAACCUAGUUUUACGCAAACGACGCAUUAUAGUGGCUUAUACUACCAUAAUGGGUCGAAACGGGUCAAAAGCACUUAGGUAAACUUCCAAAUCAGAAUGCUAGCUCUAUUAAAUCAUACCAUAUGAGUUGCAAUACUCAUUUGAUUUAUAGACUUCAUUCUAUCCUAUCUCCCGAUUUAGGAUCCGAUUGUUUAACAUAGUGAUCCAUACUAGGUGCCACUUGAUUCCUUGAUUUCCCGAGCUUUGUUAGGACACUUAAUCAAGGAUACUUGCAAUCUCAAGUGAGUACAUAGUCCCCUCUUUUACUGUUUUCAAUUGUUUUGGGGUGAAACAUAUAUGCCUAUCUGUUAUUUUCCUGAUUUUAAACUAUAUGAUUACACAUGCUUAAUACAUAUUCUGUCGACAAAUUAAACAAUUACCUAUGGUUUAAACACUGAUUUUUCCAAAACUUAAUAAACAAAUUGUUGGAUUGUACCAUUUUUAUACAUUCACCCAGCCGAUUGGUAGUAUGAUAUAGCGCUAUAGGACUAGACACCCCAUUCCUGUUGUAUGGAAUGUCAGAAACCAAAUUUAAACCAAAUAGAAAUUGCCUUCGUGGUAUUUCUAUAGUCUCCAAAGUGUAGUUUGAUACACUAAGGCUUUGUCGAAUACCAAAUCACACUCUCUUUGUAUAUGUCGAUAUACUACAAAAGUACAGUUUGAUGUGCUCUCAAAUGUGAUCUACCAAAGUAUAUUUUGAUAUACUAAGUACAAAAUCCAACAUAUGUUUUAACAUACUUUGUUAUUUUAAACUAAAGUAUAUUUUGAUAUACUAUCUAAAGCAUAGUUGAUAUGCUACUUUUAACCAAAGCAUAGUUGAUAUGCUAUUUACAAACCAAAGUAUAAUUUGAUAUACUACCAAUACUUUUAUUCUUAAACCAAAGUAUACUUGAGAUAUACUACCGAAACUAUUAUUUUAAUUACUAAAGUAUAUUUUGAUAUACUAUCCAUUUAACUAUUUCAAAACUAAAGUAUACUAUGAUAUACUAUUUGUACAAACUUUUCAAAACCAAAGUAUAUUUUUGUCUAUACUAUAAACCCGUUUUCGAAAACGACACAUUUUCAGAAACAAAACUUUUACAUUAGAUUCAUGGCUAUUUUGAAAAACAUAAAACCUUUUCUCAUAUUAUCUAAAGCCAUGAAUCUAAUACACAAAAUCCUAUGUACUGCUAUGUGAUGAUUGUUGAUGCACGCUACAUAUAGGAUGGACUUGUGCCUUAGCGACUUAAAACUGAGAAACAAUUAUUUGUUUUAUUUUAAAUUGUACCAAAACAUUGAAUUCAAUAAUUCAAUAAAACAAAACUAUU